rnacentral:lncRNA from 1 species
GUAUUGGUUAUAUUAUCAAAUUUGUACCAAAAUUAACCAUUAGUACAAAUAAUUAUGCUCCGCAUGUAAUAAAAGGAAUAUAUUUUAAAAUGUCGCUUCUUUAUUAAUGCAUUGAAUCACAAUGUAUUUUUUUUUUUUUUUUUGAGUAAGUUCAAGUCCAAUACAAGGGGAAGUAGGGGAGGGGGGGACUCGAACCCUAGACCGUU